GACGAACGCUGGCGGCGUGCUUAACACAUGCAAGUCGAACGGAAAGGCCCUGCUUUUGUGGGGUGCUCGAGUGGCGAACGGGUGAGUAACGCGUGAGUAACCUGCCCUUGACUUUGGGAUAACUUCAGGAAACUGGGGCUAAUACCGGAUAGGAGCUCCUGCUGCAUGGUGGGGGUUGGAAAGUUUCGGCGGUUGGGGAUGGACUCGCGGCUUAUCAGCUUGUUGGUGGGGUAGUGGCUUACCAAGGCUUUGACGGGUAGCCGGCCUGAGAGGGUGACCGGCCACCUUGGGACUGAGAUACGGCCCAGACUCCUACGGGAGGCAGCAGUGGGGAAUAUUGCACAAUGGGCGGAAGCCUGAUGCAGCAACGACGCGUGCGGGAUGACGGCCUUCGGGUUGUAAACCGCUUUCGCCUGUGACGAAGCGUGAGUGACGGUAAUGGGUAAAGAAGCACCGGCUAACUACGUG
rnacentral:rRNA from 1 species